CAGUAGUCACGAGUUUGAUCCUGGCUCAAGAACGAACGCUGGCGGCAUGCCUAACACAUGCAAGUCGAACGAGACCUUCGGGUCUAGUGGCGCACGGGUGCGUAACGCGUGGGAAUCUGCCCUUGGGUUCGGAAUAACUUCGGGAAACUGAAGCUAAUACCGGAUGAUGACGUAAGUCCAAAGAUUUAUCGCCCAAGGAUGAGCCCGCGUAGGAUUAGCUAGUUGGUGAGGUAAAGGCUCACCAAGGCGACGAUCCUUAGCUGGUCUGAGAGGAUGAUCAGCCACACUGGGACUGAGACACGGCCCAGACUCCUACGGGAGGCAGCAGUGGGGAAUAUUGGACAAUGGGCGAAAGCCUGAUCCAGCAAUGCCGCGUGAGUGAUGAAGGCCUUAGGGUUGUAAAGCUCUUUUACCCGGGAUGAUAAUGACAGUACCGGGAGAAUAAGCUCCGGCUAACUCCGUG
rnacentral:rRNA from 1 species